GUGGGGAAUAUUGGACAAUGGGCGAAAGCCUGAUCCAGCCAUGCCGCGUGUGUGAAGAAGGUCUUCGGAUUGUAAAGCACUUUAAGUUGGGAGGAAGGGUAGUAACCUAAUACGUUGCUACUUUGACGUUACCGACAGAAUAAGCACCGGCUAACUUCGUGCCAGCAGCCGCGGUAAUACGAAGGGUGCAAGCGUUAAUCGGAAUUACUGGGCGUAAAGCGCGCGUAGGUGGUUCAGUAAGUUGGAGGUGAAAUCCCCGGGCUCAACCUGGGAACUGCCUCCAAAACUGCAUGACUAGAGUACGGUAGAGGGUAGUGGAAUUUCCUGUGUAGCGGUGAAAUGCGUAGAUAUAGGAAGGAACACCAGUGGCGAAGGCGACUACCUGGACUGAUACUGACACUGAGGUGCGAAAGCGUGGGGAGCAAACAGGAUUAGAAACCCCUGUAGUCC
rnacentral:rRNA from 1 species